UGUCUGGGAAAUGCCUACCCUGUUAUUUUUGUGAUGUUUUCCUUAACUGUUUUGUAAGAGGAGGAGCCAUCAUCCUACUGGCAAGAUUUUAAAUUGAUAUUAAACAAAACAAUGCCUUUCUAUUCGCAUUUCAGAAAUAGCAGUGUUUUCGAUGACGGCUUCAGAUUUAUAUUGGAUUCUAAAAAUUUUAAAUAAUCGAUUAGGUUAAUUUUCCAAUGUUUGGCCAUUGUCAGGACAUAAUAUUGGCACUUUAACAGUUCCACUGCUUUAAUUAUUAUACAUACUGUGGACCAAAUUGUCAAAAACAGACAUGGACAAAUACAGUCACAAAACUUACAGUAUGUUGUAUAUAUUGGUGAAACAAUGGUGGCACAAACCACCUUUUUUAAAAUGUCACAGAAGACACUCAAUUUCUAAACCAACAAAAAUGGACAUCUCUCCACAGUGGUGCUGAUCUUGUCUCUAGCUGAUGUCUCCUCUUCAUUAUCUGCACCCUCCAGCUUUUAAAAGGUGCUCAACGUUCAGCUCUAUUAUCAUUCCAUCCUUAUUCAUAGCACUUGAUGCUGUACUUCUGGUGCUUUAUCUGGCUCCCAUUUUGCAUUUUUGGGGUUUAAUUAGGCCACAUGCAUCAUUUUUCAAGAAAAGAAAAUAAGUCAUACUGUUUGUAAAAGCCUUUUGAGCCAGCUAAGCAUUUUAUCACACAGAUACAACAGGUGGCACUAAUUUUCUUCCUAUCACGUUCAAAUAGGUGUGGGCAUUUGUCAGUGUAAACUCUAGAGGGCAGUGGUGGCCUAGUGGUAAAGGAAGCGGACUUCGGUCUGGAAGGCCCCAGGUUCGAAUCCACCAUGCAGCAUGGCAUCGUCCUCAAGCACUGCUCCCUGGGCGCUGACCACGGCUGCCCACUGUUCACUUUGGUGAUGGGUUAAAUGCAGAGGUUAAAUUUCGUUGUGCAUGGUGUGCUGUGCUGUGUCACAAUGACAAAUAAAGAUAAGUUUUUUUUUUUUUUUUAGAGGGCAGCAGUGGCUGCCAUUCCAAGACAUACAGUACAAGCACUUGAGCUCCACCCAGUAGCAAGAUGAGCCUUGCCUUGCAGCCUUAACUAACUAUGGCCAGCAGAGGGGUGUCUCAGGCUUUUUUUGCUGACCGUGGCUGGGCCCUCCACCGAAGCAGCUUAAGUUGAAGCUGUUUUUUGUCCCACUGAGGCACAAACGUCAUCCCAGUCUCUGGACAGACCCUUGGCAGGCCCAUGCUGGCUCAGAGCAGAAGAAAACAGUGUUGGGUUAGCAGCUCUUGUCGGUGCUCCUGGACACACUCUGGUGCUCUCCUACAACACUUGAUUUCUCCACCAAGGGCCGACUUCUUCCUCUCUGCAUGGUGCUGUCAUCAUCUUGAAAGCAGAGAGGAAAUGGAUGAUAAAGUCUGACGGGAGAUCUUCAACCGAACAAUCAAGAUUUAUCUUCUGUUUCCUUUUUUAUGGUUUAUGGACCAGAUCUAAUUGAUAUAUGAAGGCCUGCAUUAGCAGUUGAGUCCAUGUACUAUUGAGUGUGAAAAUCAUCCUGAUAAUCUUGGUGGUCUGUUGAAUGGAACGUCACUAAUUACUACAUUUCCAUUUCUUACGUACAGUCUUUGGUAAGGACCCUGGUCAUCUGUGAAAGACCCUGUUCUGCUGUGUCUCCAGCUCUUUACCUCACGCUGUAGAGACACUGGUCACAACCUCACACUUGCUACUGAGGGCAGAGAAUCAAGCGUUUGUCUCUUUGUGUCCCCUCACUUGUUUAACCUGCUUUCUUCUUCUGUUUUUUUUUUUGUUUGUAAACCUCUUAUUUAUUACUAUGUGAAGAUGUUAAUAGUGAUUGUCUUUAAUGUUUUGUUUUUUUAUGUUUUAUAUAGCUAAUACAAAUUGUAAAUACAAAAAAAAAAGAUUUAUAAAAGCACUUUCAAUCUUGAUUUUAAUUAUUUAAAAAAAGAAGAAAGAGCCGAAUAUUGACAACUUGAAGCUUAGGUUUUUUGUUUGUUUUUUUUUCUCUCAAGAGAGAUGAAAAUGUAAAUAUUGAAAAUUAUUUAGGUAAGAUUAUUUAACUGGUAAACUAGACCUGGAAUGACAUGGGGGCAGGGGAAGGGGGGGUGCAGGGUCAUGUAAAAGUUCAUUACAGCCCUAAACAACAGUAUACAACAGGCAGACCCGUGUGUUGUGUGUAAAUGUGUGUUUAGAAACACUGCUGUUUGACUUUCUUAAGUACUGUUGGGGUACAGUACUUAAGUAACAUGUACUGACAUUCAUCCCAGAUUUACAGACAAGUUAUAUUCAUGUACCCCACUGAUCUGAGACUUUGAACAAAAACCUCCACAUAAGCAUUCAUUGAUGACUUUCACAGGACGUAUGUGCAGAUUAAAACGUGUAGGUUAUCUUUUUAUUUCAGCCUGGUAAAAUAAAAAAUAAAAUAUAGUGGUAAUGUACAACUUAUUUCAAAGCAGUGGGAUAUAGGCAUUUGGUAGCCCAAAGCAGGUUCAACUGGCCUUAAGCUUUGUAUACAACAGUUAUUAGAAUUAUUCUAUUAGUUUCUAUUAGCUACCAAAGAAAUGGGUCUAUGAAAGUCAAUAAGCAAACUUUGCAACUUAAACACUUCUUAAUUAGUCAUUUGUGUAGUAAUUUGACUUUUUCAUAAGGUUUGGCAAAAUAUUUUAGUUUUUAGCCUUAGUGCCCUCUGUUGGCAAUGAGUGGUUUUGCACCUGAAGCCUGGGUUGAAAAACAGGACUGAGUUAACGUCCCUCUUCUAGAUACACACUUUAUCAAUGUGGCCGUGGUUUACUGCAUACCAGAUGUGUGGCGACUACUGUCAUGUACUUCAUUGCUAUUGUUGGUGCAGGUGAAAAGUCUGGCCAUGCGUAAAGUGCUGAUGAAGUAGUUUUAACCCCUUUUUUUUUUACCCUUGAUGCACAGUUGCAGUGUUUUGUGGUCUGUCCUUUCAAACCAGAUAAUGUUCUUGUCCUUUUCAAGCAACAAAGUGUUCCAGCCAAAAGGUUAUUCUUAUUACAGUUACCCUUUUAAAGUGACAUGUUCAGAAUGUUAGGGAAGUCGCUUCAUUUGUGCUAAAGUGAAAGGGCUGAAGGCUGUGAUCUUACUAAUAACUAAUCUUUUUUUUCAGCCAUGUCACUCAUUAGGCCAGACUUCCAGCCGGCCUUUGGGACCGACCCUGUCACCAUUGUUCAACCCCUAGCAGUGUGAAUCAAUCUUAGUGCAUUUAGCUUCAAAUCAUGUCAAACUCUGUGAGCCAAACACAAAGUAAUAAUUACACUGACAUUGUGAUAAAUGGUUAAAUUGGCACAGGGGCUGGAAACAGGCUCCUUUAAUUAAACACAUAGCCAUUAUACACACACGCUUACAUAAAGUGCUAGGGAUACAGCGUAUCCUAAUCACUCCACAGUUGUUAAUUAAAACUGAGUUUUUAGUCAGCUGGUGCUACUACUUUUCUGUUCCUUGCAUUCACUGUUUGAGAUGUUUCAGAAAAAAGAAAAAACACAUCACAAAUGUUUUGGUGCUCUUUAAAUGUUAAGAAAAGUUCAUUUUUAAUGAGAGCAGUUUCUUAGAGAGGCAAACUACACUAACAAUUUGCAUCUUUUUUUAAACAAAGUGCAGGGGGGGCUCAAACAGCUCGUCACACUCUUUAAAAACUUUUCUUACAUUAUACUUGAAGUCAGUGAAAAUAGAAUGACCUAUAUUUAGUAGUUAUUAUAACAACUGUUACUCAGAAAAGUCACAUCUGGUAUGUUCUAUGUUCACGUUAACUGAUAUUUGAACAACAUACACCGAUAGUGAUUGUAUACUGCCUUCACUUCCUCCCCCCUGACAUGCACUUCCUCUUCUCCACCCCCUCACUUUACACUUUAGAUUUUGUCUGUCAAUUACAAAAAGUUAUCCAAAAAGCCCCAACUGUAGAACUAAUGUGACAUAAGUUAUAAUGCUCCAAAUUUAAAAUGUGGGCCUGGACUCCUUUUAAACAAAGAAAUACAAGAAAUGGAAAACACAACUGGCAGCUAUAUUUCGUUGGGAGUUUUGGGGAUUCUUCAAGGUUCUCUUCACGUCGAGGAUGCAGUAUGUAUAGCACUAAGUGUUUAGAUUUUUCCUUUUUCUUCAGUCUUUCUCUUUGUAGCUGUACGGUGUAUUAUGUGUACACAUAGUGUAUGUGGUGAAAACCCACAAUAUUGUUUUACGUUGCGCGAUCAAUAAAAACAUUGAAAUGAA